AGAGUUUGAUCCUGGCUCAGGAUGAACGCUAGCGGCAGGCUUAACACAUGCAAGUCGAGGGGUAGGGUUCUUCGGAACUUGAGACCGGCGCACGGGUGCGUAACGCGUAUGCAAUCUACCUUUUACAGAGGGAUAGCCCAGAGAAAUUUGGAUUAAUACCUCAUAGUAUUAUGGAAUGGCAUCAUUCUAUAAUUAAAGUCACAACGGUAAAAGAUGAGCAUGCGUCCCAUUAGCUAGUUGGUAAGGUAACGGCUUACCAAGGCUACGAUGGGUAGGGGUCCUGAGAGGGAGAUCCCCCACACUGGUACUGAGACACGGACCAGACUCCUACGGGAGGCAGCAGUGAGGAAUAUUGGUCAAUGGGCGCAAGCCUGAACCAGCCAUGCCGCGUGCAGGAUGACGGUCCUAUGGAUUGUAAACUGCUUUUAUACAGGAAGAAACACUCCCUCGUGAGGGAGCUGACGGUACUUAGAAUAAG
rnacentral:rRNA from 1 species